rnacentral:rRNA from 1 species
ACUCCUACGGGAGGCUGCAGUGGGGAAUAUUGCGCAAUGGGCGAAAGCCUGACGCAGCAACGCCGCGUGGGGGAUGACGGCCUUCGGGUUGUAAACCCCUUUCAGCAGGGACGAAAAUGACGGUACCUGCAGAAGAAGCCCCGGCCAACUACGUGCCAGCAGCCGCGGUAACACGUAGGGGGCGAGCGUUGUCCGGAUUUAUUGGGCGUAAAGAGCUCGUAGGCAGUUGCGUAAGUCGGAUGUGAAAACUCAGGGCUCAACCCGGAGACUGCAUUCGAUACUGCGCUGACUAGAGUCCGGUAGGGGAGCAUGGAAUUCCUGGUGUAGCGGUGAAAUACGUAGAUAUCGGGAGGAACACCAGUGGCGAAAGCGGCCUGCUGGGGCAGUUCUGACGCUAAGGGACUAAAGCGUGGGGAGCGAACCGGAUUAGAUACCCGGGUAGUCCACGCCCUAAACGAUGAAUGCUAGGUCUUCGGGGUGUUAAUUCCCUGUGGGCCGAAGGUAACCCAUUAAGCAUUUCGCCUGGGGACUACGGCCGCAAGGCUAAAACUCAAAGGAAUUGACGGGUCCCCGCACAAGCAGCGGAGCGUGUGGUUUAAUUCGAUGGUAAGCGAAGAACCUUACCUAGGCUUGACAUGUUUGGUGGUACCGAACCGAAAGGGGAGGGACCCUUCGGGGAGCCUUACACAGGUGUUGCAUGGCCGUCGUCAGCUCGUGCCGUGAGAU